UUAUAGUAUUUACAAGUAAGAAAAGUAUUGCUCCUAGGUGUCUGCAAAUAGAAAGAUGCUUUGAUGGUUAGGCAGAAACAUGAUUGGUUUAAAAGAUUAUUUACAACAGUAUUUCCUCUUACACAUUUUACCUAUAACAUAGCAAAGAAGAAAAACAUUGUUUCACAGUUGAAUAGAAUGAAGCAGACAUAAACACACCAGAUGUUUUUUAGUAAUUUUCCUAAGAAUCUUUUUUCCUUUGUUUCUAAAGCAUUUCAACUAUGUUUAAAUGUUACAGACUCAAAAGACAAGGAUCCAAAGGCCAGUGAUGUCAAGAGAAUUGUAUUCUUAAUUUAGCUUUUGGUCAAGCCCUACUGGGGAAUUCUGGGGUGAUUUUUUGUUGUUGUUGUUUGUUGUUGUUGUUUGUUUCUUUUUUCAUUUGUUUGGUUGUUUGAGGUUUUUUAGUGUAGUUUUCUUGUUAAGGAAUUCAUUCUAGGCAACUGAAAUCAGUUGGAGUUCUUAUAUCUGUGGCAUCAGAGCCAUAAAAAAAUUGCAGAUUUUUUACAGGGAGAUAAAAACAUGACAUCUGAAGUUUAGCAAAUUUAAAAUCCUCUCAUGCUCUCAAAAAACUCUUUGAAAUUUUCAGAUAAUGAAAAUUAUGAAAUAUUCCAGAAUGUUUAGCUCAUUUGUAUUCAGUAUAACAUAUUUUGAUAAUAAUUAUGAAUUUAGUACACCAAGUAACUAAAUGGCAUAGUUAUUUUAGGUUAUUGGGGAUGAGCAGGAAUCCUUAUGGCUUAACAUCUUUAAUAAAACUGUAUUACUUACCAGUAACUGAAUUUCCUUUUUUGGGGGGAGGGAUUACCUCUUCCACAGAUUCAUGGUAUUUAGUGAAAUUUAUGAGAACGCCAUGUCAGACACCAAAGAGCUGUUGAAGUUGUCAAAUUUCAGGAAACCUGGGGAGAGAAGGAGAUGGAAUGGCUCUACAGAGAAAAUUGUUGUGUAGGAGAACUCAAGUUACUGGUAAAUAAUUUGUUUUUGCCCUUGGUUUGUGAUUGUUCCCUGUAAACACUUAAAAAUUCUGAAGGAGAAGUGGUCGUCGUGGAGAGAGGGAGAACAAAGACACAAAUCACAAAUGCCAUAGAAAAUUACUUGGAAAGAAAUUGUUUUGUUACUAGACUAUACCUUUAGUCACUCUAAAUAUCUCUUUAUCCAACUGUAAUGAAUAAAGAGACAAUCUCUAUGGACUUCAUUCCAACAUCAGAAGCAUAAACUCUCCAUUUUAAGCAGGUUUUUAGUUCUGCUGUCUCUUUC